rnacentral:rRNA from 1 species
AGCAGCCGCGGUAAUUCCAGCUCCAAUAGCGUAUAUUAAAGUUGUUGCAGUUAAAAAGCUCGUAGUUGAAUUUCGGGGUUCUACCGUUGGUCGGGCAAUAGUCUGCACUGGCGUGUAGAAUUUCUACCUUCUGGGGAACCAUCAUGUUAUUUAUUUAGCGUGGUGGGAAACCAGGACCUUUACCUUGAAAAAAUUAGAGUGUUCAAAGCAGGCUUACGUCUGAACACAUUAGCAUGGAAUAAUAAAAUAGGACGGUGGUCCUGUUUUGUUGGUUUCUGAAUCACCGUAAUGAUUAAUAGGGAUAGUUGGGGGCAUUAGUAUUCAAUUGUCAGAGGUGAAAUUCUUGGAUUUAUUGAAGACUAACUUUUGCGAAAGCAUUUGCCAAGGAUGUUUUCAUUAAUCAAGAACGAAAGUUAGGGGAUCGAAGACGAUCAGAUACCGUCGUAGUCUUAACCAUAAACUAUGCCGACUAGGGAUCGGACGAUGUUAAUUUUUCUUGACUCG